AGGCGUGAGCCACCGCGCCCGGCCCAGAAGCCAGAGUUCUUAAUGGCUAUAUUAUAGAGCACUUCUAUUUCCAGCUUGAUUACUUUGAAAAUGUAAAGAAGACGGCUGGAGCUGAAUCAGCCAUCUUUGACUAUGGUGUUGCUCUGAGAAUGGGAUUUGCACAAGGCUAAGUAACAUCAUAGAAGUAGCCCAGGUGCCUGAGGACUUCAAACACCCAAGCCUCCACUACAGCCUCAAUUUCCUUCCUUACAUUGUUUAUGUGAGAAAGCAAUAAACUUCUAUUUUGGUUAAUGCA